UGUGACUCACCAGCCGCACGCGUGCUGGGCAGGUAGAGGCUGGAGCGGUCAGGGGCAUGCCUGGCUCCUGGUGCCUCUCUGUGGAGAGCACCUCUGUAAGCACCUCUGUGCCUCUCUGAGAGCACCCACAGCCAAAAGCACACAGCUGCCUCCAGGCUGAGGGUGCUUGAUACACCCUUGAAUCCCCUCUUGCAUGAUGCCCCAGCCCAGGAGAGAUAAAAGCAUCAGCACCAUGAGAUUCACCUGCCUCUGGUCAUUAGGGAACAAUGGAGGCCUGUGAUUUGGAGUUAAACUCCAGUGAUCUCUGUGUUGACAACACCAAAGCUAGAGGAAUCCAGUAGGAUGUGGGCAUGGUUUUCCCGGAAGGCUGACUGAGCAGUUCUGCAAAUGUUUGCAAGUACAGGGCGGAAUUUCAUCCAGCCUUGGAACCUUGAGCCAAGACUCAGCAUCAGCAAAGCCAAAAGUUUCGUUUCUUCGACUGUGGGAGUGCUAGUCCCACCCUUUAGAUGGCCAUUCAGUUUUAAGUUCAAUAAGCAUUUUGAUUGAGAAAUACUUUGCUGAGGGGUGAAAAGUCCUUGGCUUUGAAAGACGAAUGAUGAGCAGUUCAGUGGCCCAUGUCACAGUCCAGGCACCUGCCAAAGGUGACUCCCUGGGAGGAGAAUCUUAGUCACAGAGCCAGUGCCUGCUGUAGGAGUGCAGGGCUCCAGAAGUGUGUGUGUGUGUGUGUGUGUGUGUGUGUGUAUGUGUACAUGUGUGUUGGGGGAAGGGAGCAAGGUUGUGGGAGCAUUUCUUAUCUGCUCUUCUCUACAAGAUUUCCUGUGAUUUAAGUCACAUUAAAGUACCCAUAAGCCCAUAAUGCAAAAGAACCCAAAACCAGCCCAGCAGCCAACCAUGGCAGCAAGUAGGUGCUCUGGUCUUUAGAUAGUCAGAAAUGACACUUCUGGGCUCUCAGGCAGUCAGUGGGUUGAGCUCCCCAUUAAAGUUCCUAAUGAAAGUGUUUCCCCCUGCCAAGUCUGGAAUAGUCCUAGUCCCGUGUGUGUGUGUGUGUGUGUGUGUGUGUACGCACAUGCAUAUGCGCGCAUGCAGUGCAGGGUCUGCAUACCUAAAGCAGAUGAAAUUCUGCAGAAUGGCUGCCUCACUAGACAAAGUCAAGAAGACAGACUGAGGAGAGAGAGGUUGAUGUGUCUCCACUACCAAGAGAUAGGCUUCUCUGAGCCAGCGAGACAUCCCAUCCAACAAUAUGAAACUGGCCACAUUUCCUUGAGAUGUCAAUGUUGGAAGUGUAGCUGCAUCUUUAUUCUUCACUGUUAUGAAGUUGGGUGCAACACAGCCUGAGUGGAAUACAAAAACACCACUUGGAAACACAUGAUCUGGAUUUGAAUCGCAGCUCUAUCAUUCACCUGCUAUAGACUUUGAGCAAGACCUCUCUGAGGUUAUUUCUUCACAGUAGGUAGAGAUAAGACCUACUUCAAAGGUUCUUAAAGUUGAACCUACCUGAAUCAAUGAAUGCAAAAAUGUUCACAUUUAAACUGUAAUUUUAAAGCACAAUACAAGUAAAUAGCAUUAAUAUCAUUAAAGAGAUUAACUUAGCACUGUGCAUCACAUGAUUCAUCACGGGCCAUCUGUGAGAUAUCAAAUAGAGAGGUGAAGCCCACAGUAAUAAAAAAUAUUGUCAUAGCUAUAA
rnacentral:sRNA from 1 species